AUAGAACUUGGUAACAAAGUUCUAAAUGUGUAGGUUUUGAAAGAAAAUCGCAUGCCCUAUGAAUCAGGAAGGGAUGGGGUAGACUGGAUAGUCAAUCAUACUGAAGUACUUUUAAGGACCUACAAAGAUUUCUGGAUAGAGUUAGCAAACGGGAGAACUCCAGCAGAUGAGCAUUUGAAUGGGUUAAAGUUGGACAUAGUGGAUGACAGAGUGGUUGAGGAGAAAUGGAUUCGUUUAACCACCCCUCAGUUCAGGAUGGAAAAAAAGGGAACUGUUAAAUUUGAAUUCAAGGAUAUAGAGAAUGGAUGGUGGAAAAGAGGGAUUCUUUUCGAUUUUAUGGAACUCAAGAAAAUACGAGAUUUGUCAAUCUGAAGUAUCGUUUGAUUCUGGGCUAAUAUAUAAAUUUUUGGUAAAAAAAUGUCAAAAACCAGACUGUUAGCUUUCCACCUCAAGUUUCUUUUGUUUAUCAAUCAAUGCUUCGUUUGUAAUUUUUUCGGUCAAACAUUUUAUUAAAUUAAUAAAAAUUCCGUCUGUAAAUAUUUUGAUCCGAAUUGAUGGUUGAAACAGUUUGGAAAUGUAUUAAUCAUGUAAUGAUGUAACAAAGGAUUAAAAACGAUGAAUUGAAUUGAGAUUUAUUAAAUUUAUAUUAUUUUUAACCUGUUUAAUUUAAACCAUAUUAACACUUUUAUUUUGGUUCGUUGUUAAAAAACAUCAAAUAUAAUUUUAUUAAAUGUUUGUAUUCUUGUUUUGAUGUGAUGGUUAUUUCUAGAUAUAAUAAGCUUUUUAAUGAUAUAAAUUUUUUAAAUAACAGGCUAUUUUAUUUGUAUUUAAAUUGAAAAAACAAUUUUUAGAAAAAUUCCAAUUAUUUUUGAGGAAAUCCGGGAACCUUAUGAAGUUCGAUAGCAUCGUUUAUUAUUAUAUAUGCUGAUAUAACAUUAUAUAGCACAAUUUUUCUUUAUACCAAGUCUUAAUUUACUAUAAAGGGACCAUUUUAGAAUAUUCUUUGAUCUCCAAUAAUGUUAUUGUAAUUAUAAAACUUUUCCCAACCAGCUCGUUCAUUGAUAACCAGAUAACUGUAGAAUAAGAAGACGACAUUAAAUCAUUUGAUAUUGUUAAGCAAAUAGCUUUACUAUCAAGUUAUUAAAUGACUAAUAAGUGAAAUGGAAUCUGUUUUCACUGCACAAUUGCUGAGCCUCAUGUUCAUUGAACUAUUUAAAGUAAAAUA